GAUGAUGUUGCAACGGUGUAGCUCCUCCAUCGUCUGUCAUCGGGCAAUUGAGAGAGAGACGUGAGAGAGAGAAUCGGGGUGGGGGGGAAAUGAAAAUGGGAAUAAUUAGGUUUUUUUGAAGUAUACAUAUUUAGCAAAACAUCUGAUUUUGGAACAAUGAAACUACCCAUCUCAUUUUAGAAUUUUGGAUUUUUAAUGUAGGAAUCCUGUAAUUUCCACUUAAAAUUUAUGGUUCAAAUCGACAAACCAACCCAAUUCAAAGUCAAUUUGGGUCGAUUUUUUAAAUCUUUCUAUUUGUUACGGGUUGUGAUUUUACCCAAUACAAUUAACAAGUUCGGCUGUCGGUUUGGAUCAAUUUUUUUAAUCUUUUCUGUUCAUUACACUCUUUUUUUUUUUUUUUUUGGUUCCUGAUAUAAUUAUUUAAAAACCUUCAAUCCAAAACAUCCGUUUCCAAAAAUCAGCCGUUCACUUAACUGUUUUUAUUUAAAUUUUAAUAAAUAAACGUUUCUCUUUUCUAAAUGUUAAAUUUUGAGACGAGGUGGUUGAAAAUAUGCCAAAUCAACUAAUUUUUGAAUUACUUCUUUUGAUUAUACAAUAAAUAAAUACUUCUCUCUUUUUAAAGAAUCUCACAUUUAGAGACAAGAAGGUUCAACAGUUCGGUUUUCCGUGUUUCAUUAAUCACAAUAUUCUGGCUGAUAAUGUAAAUCAAUAGAUCAUAAUGGUGGAAAGAUCUUUUUUCUUUUUAGGAAACCUAAUUUUACUACCAGUGUUCUUGAGGGGAAUGUACUUCCACUUAUCUCUAUCAACUCUUUUGGAGGCUUCAUAGAAAUAAUUUAUAUUGCUUUGUUCCUUCUGCAUACGUCCAAAGAAACUAGAGUAAGUAAAUACGACUACAUAUACCAUUUAAAAUUGCAUUCAAUUAGUUGUAGUGUUAACUUUUUAAUAUUAUCUUUUUGCUGAGCCUAGGCCAUGUGUAUGUUGCUAAUUGCUAUCUUUGGAGUUAUAUUUCUUGUAUCCUUCUGCUAUUUGAAGGUCAAACGCGUGUUCAUAUUAUUACAUGGAUAUUUGUUUUUUCACGGCGUCUAUGAGCAUCAUGGUACAUAAUUAAAAAUGCAUAGAGGGGGACAUAAUAACCGUGAAAUCAACACAACUCAAUCUAACCCAAAAAAAAAAGGAUUCAAAUCAAGUCUAUUUCACGAGAAGUUGGGUUAAGUCUCAAGUUUCAAGCCGACCCAAAAGCCUCGAUUUUCAUGUUUAUUUAAACAAAUAAAAAAUUAGAUUUCACAGUACUCACUAAACUCAUAAAUCAACCCAAUCAUGAAAUUGAUUCAACCCGAAUCGAAUCACUUUCGGGUUGAAUUCAUGGCAAAUUGAUAUGGUUUAGGCUGGAUCUAAGCCAAGUUGAAAUCCUCAACCUUUAGGUCAAAUUUUUCAAAAAAAAUAUAAAUAAAUAAAUAAAUAAUAAUAAUAAUAAUAAUAAUAAUAAUAAUAAUAUAUUUACCACGAUAUCCACAAUAAUGACAAAUCAGUCCAAUUCGGAUCGGUUUGGAUUGAUUCAUGGGAAUUCGGGUCGGGUCGGGUCCAAGCCCAACUAAUAAAAGUAUUAAAAAAAAAAAAAUGAUUUCAUGGUACGACAAAUCGACCUGACUUGGGGUCAUUUUGGGUCAAAUUUUCCAAGCUUUGACUCGUUUUGGAUUGAGAUUUUUAGUUGGUUCUGUUUUUGGAUUGGGACCUAUUUGAGUUCGAUUCCGUCCCAACCCGAUCGGUGCCUACCCCUGGCUACAAUUCAAUUAUGAUAAUGGUGCAUCUUUGAACAUGAUAGUGUUUUUACCUUUUUUCAAUUAAAUUAAAAAAUAAUAAUAAUAAUAAUAACACUGAGGAGUUAUAACGUAUUGAAAACUAAAAGGGUAAUUAUGUUCAAACAAAUUUUUUUUUUUUAAUAUCUACACCACAUUUUAAUUACAAGAGGCUUUCAAUAUUCGCUCACAUUUGCUUUUAAAAAUCAAAUUAAUUAAUUUCUCGAUGGGAACCUCUUAAUAGAGUGGAAAACCAAGCCGAGAUUGUGUUCUUAACUUUUUUCUAGUCGCAUUGUCAUUCUUAAUCUUUUGUCUCUAGUAUCAAUUUUCAUACUAAUAUUCUACUGACUUACAUUGAAAAGAUGGACGAAUAUUUUUUUUAGCUUUUAUAUUAAUUAUUUAUUUCAAUCACUUAAAAAUGCAAGAGAUACAUGUCUUUUUGGCCAUCAUAACAAAUACUUUGGACGAAAAUCGUUCAUAAACAAAAUGUGAAAUUUAAUAAGGAUUGAUGAUAAAAAAUAAAAAAAAAUUAAUAAAAAUUGAGAACAUAAUUGUGAUAAUAAGAAAAAUUUAGUGAUAUUCAUUAUAAUUAAAAUAUGGUGUAAUUAACAAAAAUUAUGGCGUAAAUAUAUUGACCCAAACUAAAAUAUCCUAAAAAAGUAAAGGUCAAGGUACUCCCAGUUCAACAAGCAUGAGUUCACCUUACUUUACAGGGCAUUUUUUUUUUAUCGAUAAAUGUAAAUAUUAUUGAUAAAAAAUAUUCAUAUACGAGUACACCGAGCAUACCCGGGCAAAACAGAAACCAAUAUCACUAAAAUGACUUCACCUUAUUUUACAGGGCAUUUUAUAUAGAUGGUUACUCUUCCAAGUACUAAUUUAAAUGGUACUUUAAACCAACUUCUAAAUUAAUACGAGAACGUGACAAGUGCAAAUGUACAAUGUAAGAAAUAGGAAAAUGCUGUUGAACAAAACACAACACAACAUGGAUUUUUAGGAAAACCUUUUCGCAUAGGAAAGAAAGUCUAUUUUUCUUCUUCUUAAACUUGGUUUAAUAAAAUGCAAUUGAGUGUCUUUUACACCAAAUACUAGGUUGGUUCAUAUUUUAUUCUCUUUUCUUCUAUUCUCUACUCAUCUAACAGCCCCUUCUUCCGCAACAUCCCCAUUCCUAUAAAGAACCCUCUCACAUACCCAUUCUUUACCUCUCACUCUCUCUCUCUCUCUCUCUCUCUCUCUCACUCUCUUUUUCUUGUGCCUUUCUGGUUAAAAACAUAUUAUUAUAGAUUAUAGGUGCAUGUAUGUAAAUAUCUCCAUAUUCAACAACUCAAGGAAGAAAAUCUUGAUCUUGAAUUUGGGUUUGGAUUAGAAAUUUGAAUUGAAGGGUGGAUUUUUCUUUCAUUUGUAUUUGUUUGAGUUUAGAGAAGAGAAAGAAGAUAUGGAGAAACUCAACUUUGUGAAAAAUGGUGAAAUUAAAUUGCCUCCUGGAUUUCGGUUCCAUCCUACAGAUGAAGAGCUCGUGGUGCAAUACUUGAAUCGAAAAGUCUUAUCCUAUCCUUUGCCAGCUUCUAUUAUACCAGAGGUUGAUGUUUGUAACUGUGAUCCAUGGGAUUUGCCAGGUCUCUCUUCGACAAUUAAAAUGUUGCUUCUUUAUCAGAAAUUUUCAGUUGAAUUUACGAGUUUGUUUAUGUACAGGUGAUACAGAGCAAGAUAGGUACUUUUUCAGCACUAGAGAGGUUAAGUACCCGAAUGGAAAUGGGAACAGAUCAAACCGGGCAACUGGUUCCGGCUACUGGAAGGCAACUGGAUUAGAUAAACAAAUUGUGAGUCCCCGGAGCCGCCAGGUUGUCGGGAUGAAAAAAACUCUCGUUUUCUACAGAGGAAAGCCGCCGACAGGCUGCCGAACUGAUUGGAUUAUGCACGAAUAUCGCCUUGUCAAUUCUCAAAACACAGCCACAACUGCCCCACAGGCCAAAAGUUUAGCACAUGUGAGAUUUCCAUACUAAAAAGUAACUGUGUCGAGUCGAAUAUUGCUAGGAAACAUGUCCUUACUACGUCAAUGACAACAUUUUGCAGGAAAACUGGGUUCUCUGCCGAAUAUUUUUGAAGAGGAGAAACAAUAAAAACGAGCAACCACAAAAUGGCGACAGAAGUGCCAUUUCUGGGAAUACUAGGAUUAUCUUUCAUGAUUUUAUGGCCAAGGAUAGGAUUGAUUUGAAUCUUGUUCCAGCUACGUUGUCUUCGGGUUCUAGUGGGAUUACAGAGAUUUCGACUAAUAAUGAAUCAGAUGAUCAUGAAGAAAGCAGUAGCCUGAAUAGUUGUACCUCUGUCAAAAGGAAAUCAUAUCCUUAAUUGAAUGUAUUAUCUUACUAAUUAGCUUUCUGGAAACUAAAUCCCAUCAAAAUAACUAGUUCACAGAUGUAAUUCUCUCAGCCAACGUCUUAUCACACACAUCCAAUUGUUUGUAAUUUUGAAAAAUUAUACUGUUUCACCAUGCAAAUCUUGGAAAAAGAGGAAGUCAUCAUACUACAAGAAAGUAAAAGAAAAGAUUGGAAAAAGAUGAAGCAUGUGCAAAUAUAUUCUAAUAUAACAUAUAUAUGACAAGCUUUUUAAAAGAUAGUUCCUUUUUUGAAGCACAAGAACAAGAACGUUAUAUUUGUAUCUGAGCUUCGCACGAGGUUCCUUAGCCCGUCUAUGGAACCUUCAAAGGGCAAUUUUAUCAAGAAUAUAACAUGUAGUAAAGGUCUAGGAAUCAUUACCUCAAGUAGGGACGGCUGCUCAGCUCGUUAAAACUCGGCUCGUGGGCGACUCGGUCCGGUCAAGUGAAAAGCCCGAGCCCAAGCUGACAAGGAGGCUUAAUCCCACGAGCCGAGCCCCAGAGCAUCCCACGAGCCAAAGUUCACGAGGCUCGUAAAAAAUGUGCAAAUUUACGAAAAAAAAAUUAAAAUUAAAAAAAUCACUAGCUCGCGAGCGGCUUGUGAGCUCGGAGCUUACCCUCGAGCAACGAGCCAAGCUCUACUCUUUUUUCACGAAUCACGAGCCUGAACUUGAGUCAAGCUCGUGGGUUAAAGGGUCAAGUUGAGCCGGCUCGACCAUUGCCAUACCUAACCGCAAGACAUAGAAAAUACAGUAUAAAUGUCUGAGACGAAAUGAAAAAAGUUAUUAGUUAUGUAUGGUAGAGUCAUAACCAUAAAAUACGACUCUAAGGGUCCGUUUGAUUACAAGAAUGAAAUUUUUGUGAAAAAAAAAACGAAUUCCACCAAAUCGAAUUGCUUACAACUUGUUUUAAUGGGAAUUAUCAAUUAAAUGUGUUUGAUUGAUAUAAUUUUUCACUUGGAAAAUGUUGAAAUUUUCUAUCCUUUGGUGUUCGUUUAGUAUUAUUUUUUAUGAAAAAACUCAAUUAAAGGAAUAGAAUUUGUUAUAAUUGUGGAUAAAAUUUAUUCCAAAAAAAAAAAAGGGCUAGAAAACAAAUUUUCACGAAAACCAAAAGGAAACCAAUUCAAGGAAAAUAAGGAUCACAUGGUGGGGGAGGGAAAAUUCUUGCAAUCAAACAAGGUGAAGGGUGGAAAAUAGUUUAUAUCAAACAGGCCCUAAUUGAAUUUGAUAACAUUAUGUUCAAGCCAUUUGUCAAAGUAGUCCUCUGUACUAGGACCACAAGCAAGGUGCAUUUCUCGAGGGGACAAAGUUAACUAAAAAUUUGAAAAUCGAGGACUGGUUGGUGAGACAAGCGAGACGGACAACACUUGAAGUUCUUGACAACUAUACAAUUUCUUGCAAGUUUGUUCGUUUGAUUGGCCAACACUUGCAAAAAUUUCAAUUCCAUGGGCCAUAAAUGGGAAAAAUCAAUAUAGAUUCCUUGCAUUGUACAGAAAGGGUGUAGAAACAAACCCAACAAUCUCUCCUUCCACAAUCAUCUAUUCUUAUUAAAAAAUUGUUGGGAGACUCGGAGAGAUACUCCAACUAAACACAAAUUUGACGUAAUUACGCACAACAAAAUAUUUCUAAUCUUGUGGUUUCGUAUGCUUAAUAAACCCUAAUUAAUUAAACGAUGUGAUGUACACGUGUCCGACAUGCACAAAAUAAUGUAUGUUGACUUAACUUCAAAACAAUUAAUGUUAUUCAAUACUACUGAUAGUCAGCACCAGUUUAGAUAACAAAUAAAUGAUACUAAAUGAUAUAUUCAUUCAAAUCUAAGGUCAUAUGAUUAAUUUAAUUGAAUCUAUCUCGUGUAGCCACCUAAUUUGGUGCUUUAACACUAAUAUUACUAUAUGGCAUUUUUCUUCUAAAAUAUCCAUAUAUCAUAAUGCCAUGCAAGGUUAGAAGUAGCCAAAUGGAAACCAAAGAGAAUAUGGAUGGCAUAGAUUAAAUGCUUGAUUGUCCAUAACUAUUAACCUAUUAGCAUGUUAUGACAAGAAAAAUAUUACAAAAGUAUUUAAGAUACGACAUAAAUAUAAAAAAUAGCCAACUUGAGUUUCUUGCAGCAAUGGUAACGAAUCGUCUAAGGCGGGCUGUUGGAGUUCUUCGCAUCACCCACUCUAUAUCUCAUUUUUUAUGGGAUGGGGUUGGAUUGGAUUGGAUUGAAUUGCGUAUUACUAGCUAUAUAGACACGGACAAAUUGUAACCACUCUCCAAUAUUUUACUUCAUCGCCUGAUUAGGUCAAUCACUAAUAAAGAAACAAACCCCACAAGUCCUUUUUAAGUUUUUUUUGGUAUUCAUGUCUUUUGAAAUCUGGGGUUUGGAUUCUUAAAACAAAGAAUAUGAAUAAUUAGCCAAUUAUGCAGGUUGACCAAUUCAAAAACCAACACAAAAGUAAGGUCAUACAUAAUAUUGGGUUGCUUAGGAUCUCUGCAACAAUGACUUCGUAUCUCUUUAGCGAAAUUUCAAAUAAAUGGCCUUAUCUAAUAUGAAUCUACCCAAAGAAAUAUCAAACAGUAGGCCCCUUCUAUGUGAACAUUGAAUUUCUCCACGCCGCCAUUUUAUACCAACCUGCUAAAGGAUUUUUCCAUCAUUGGUUAACCAUAUUUUGACCCAAAUGAUAUUAGACUGCGUUAGAGGCACAUAAUGGUGGAUAUAGGGGAUGAUCGAACACACACUUCGAGGGUCGAGCAUUAUUUAAUUCACAUGAAAUCCGCACACUUUGUGGGGGUCGGUCAACCCAGGUAUCAAAUAUUUUCAAGAAAAGUGACAUUUUCCAAGGAUAUUACUGGUGCCUCUCUAUGGUCGAAAGAUUAAUGGAUUUCACUGUUCAUAACACGACGAGGUUUAUAAACUAACAACCAAUAAGAUAUCGAAGCUAUAGUUUAUACCAUCUAGAAUUUCAUUCAUUUAGCAUUUUCGGCUGCAGCACAUGUAUAACAAGAUAUCUCAGCACCCAGAACUAGAUUAUAUUACCAAAAUCUUCAACUUCAUAUUUGAUAUUCUAACCCCCGUUUGGUAGUAAUUUUUUCAUCCCAAAAAAUUAAUUUUUUUAUCAUUAUUUUACUAUUUCAAACGUCAUUUUUUACUUCUUCACUCAUAAAUGAGAUCCACUUUUUUCUCUAACUAUCAAAAAAUCAUUUUUUAUAAUCACCACUGAACAGUCCCUAAACAAUAUACCUUGAAAUUCUCAAUGUUCAUACACGUGUGUUAAAAGUUAAAAGGGACUACACAGAGAUUUCUGCUUUCAACAGUUCCCACGUCGAUCAGUAACCUUCAUUUUCUCCAGAAUGGACCACAUAAUUCAAUUAGAAGACUCGGGAACAUCCGUCCCAAGACUAACAGUGACGGUACGAGGAAAGAUUCCUCCUAUGAAAUGUACUAGAUUUGAAAUUCCACGGUCACGUUAUUGACGGAACUAGUAGAUUUAAAAAGGGUGCAUAAUAGCAUAAAAUGGUGGUGUAAAAUGGAAAAUUUUGUUAAAUAACCCAAUCAAAUCGAUUAAAUAAUUUUCUUUCAAUAUCUUUUGGUCAAAUGGCCUUCAAUUAUAAAAUACAAAUUAUAUUUCCAUCACAAAAUUUAUUUGAUACACCACAUUAUAAUCACAUCGCAAUUAAAAUAUGUUUUUAUUAAAUAAAUAACAAAUUUCAAUAUUGCUGUUCAUGUAAUCCUAAUCCUAACACUUUGCAAAAUGUUAGUGAAUGAAAUUCGGCCACGUAUCUGAUAUUUUGUCAAUUAUGAUCCCCACUACUUCAAUGAUAAUCAAGUUGGUUAGGGUCUCUUCGUUUUUUCCAAGUAUAAUAAUUAAUUUUUGAAACCAAGAAGCAUGGUUGACGCCAUAAAAAUUAUGUAUAAUUGAAAAUAAAAAUAAACUUACUUAAGAACAAAUUCAUUACCUGAAAUUUUUUAUUUUGGCAUAUCUGGAGAAAGAAAUUUGGAGACGUUCAGAUGUGAAUUUUUUGGUUUCCGCAAUGACUUCACAGAUCUCUCGAUUAUCGAAGAUGAAAGCUUUUAAUUUAUGAACUUUUAAAAUUGGUGUUCUGUAACGAGUAGUUCACAAAUUAUUAGAUACUUCAAUCAACAAAACAGUAUUAAUAAUGCACAAAAUAAACUGAAAGAAAUGUAAGGAACACAAGAAUUUUUGCCCUAAGGCAAGAGGUUCAGUACCGGAAUUCCUAAUCCCCUUUUGUGCUUCUAUCACCGGAAGAAUUCAUUGCAUUAACUAGAAUCAUGAACCGUCCAACAGUUACAGAUCUAAGUCCUAAGCCAAAAAUCACUCAAGAUUACCAACAACCCUCACAAUAUUGCCUCAACAGUUCACUCAAGACCAGUAAUGUGAAAUCGGUUCGUAUACAAGCUCACCCAAAACUAGUAUUAUAUGAUUUCACAAAGUAGAAUCAACAACUAAAUGAGUUCUACACAGAUUUGUGUAAGAAUAAUAUGGCACUCAGAAAUUAGGAGGAUUAUUCUAUAGCCGUAUUUGAGAGAGAAACCAAGAGAUGAAGAUG
rnacentral:lncRNA from 1 species